UACGUAGGGGGCUAGCGUUGUCCGGAUUUAUUGGGCGUAAAGAGCGUGUAGGCGGCCAGGUAGGUCUGCUGUGAAAACUCGAGGCUCAACCUCGAGACGUCGGCGGAAACCACUUGGCUAGAGUCCGGAAGAGGAGAGUGGAAUUCCUGGUGUAGCGGUGGAAUGCGCAGAUAUCAGGAAGAACACCAACGGCGAAGGCAGCUCGCUGGGACGGUACUGACGCUGAGACGCGAAAGCGUGGGGAGCGAACAGG
rnacentral:rRNA from 1 species